ensembl:lncRNA
UAUAAUUUUUCCAUUUCAAGAAUGUUAUAUAAAUGGAAUCAUAGACUAUUUGAUGUGAGAUUGAGAUCAAUCCAAGUUGUAGUGUGUAUCAGUUGUUUCUUUUAUUACUACAUAGUAUUCCACUGUGUGAAUGUGUUGUAGUUUGUUUAGCCAUUCAUCUAUUGAAGAACUUCUUGGUUCUUUCUUGUCUUGGGCUUUAAUGAAUAAAGCUGCUAUGAAUGUUCGUGUUCAGGUUUUUAGGUGAACAUAAGUUAUUAUUUCUCUGGGAUAAAUGCCCAGGAGUGUGAUUGGUGUUGUAUGGCAAGUAUAUAUUUUGUUCUUUAAGAAACUGCCAAACUGUUUUUCAGAGUGGGAGUACCAUUUUGCAUUUCCAGCAGCAUUGUAUGAGAAAGCCAGUUACUUCCUGUCCUUCCUAGUACUUGAUCCUAUCACCAGGAGUUUUCCCUGCUGCUGUCUGCCUUAGCAAAUCCUGUCUCACCGGAACCCGCAAGAAGUCCUCCUCUUCAUGGAAACUGAUGAUCCUUCCUCUUGCCCAUGAACCCACCUGGAGGAGUCAAGCCCAGCAUGGAUGCCAGUGAGUUGGGUCAAAGCCAGGGAAAGGUCCUGGGAUCAAGAACUGGAUGAGUAGAGUGAAAAUUUCUGAUCAGCCAGAAGUAGAAAGAGCCAGAAGAUAAACCAAACCCAUUUUCCAAGGAGUGCCAAAGGUGAAAAGCAGGAAAGCCAAAAUACUCAUCAAGACCAAAGGGGGAGCACAGAGCCAGAAGCUGGGAGGAGAAAGGGAGUCAAGAAAGUCAAUGCCAGGAACUGCUAUGCUAGCUGAGGCACAUGGUACCCUGUAAACCUGAAGAGAUGCUCAGUGAGGCACUGCUUCCUGCAUGAGACACUAUAGUAACCCAAGGCCAGAUCACCCUCAGGUUGAGGAUAGCCUGCACUAAGAGUCCUUCAUCUUGGUUUAACUUUAAGAAGUCAAAUGGAUGCAUGAGAAAGCUCCACAGACCAAAUCCAAGAUCUUAGCCAAGCCCCAAAGUAGCCUGUUACACAUUCUUCUGGAAGUAAUGACUGUACUAGCUUCACAUCUUCAUAACUAAAAAGGGCCACUUGAAGGGCCCAGAACAAGGUUUGCACAAAGGCACAAUGAUUUCUGCUACCUCAAUAGAUGCAGAAAAAACAUUUGACAAAAUCAAAAUCUCUUCCUGAUCAAAAUACUCAUCAAACUAGGAAUACAAAAUCCUCAACUUGAUAAAGAGCAUCCAUGGAACCCCACGGUGCACAUCAUACUUAAUGGUGAAAGUCUGCAUGUUUCCCCUAUGAUCAGGAACAAGCAAGGAUGUCUGCUGUCACCACUUCCAUUCCACAUUCUACCUGGUGGUUCUACCCAAGGCAACCGGACAAGAAAAAGAAAUAAAGACACCCAGAUUGGAAUGGAAUAAGUAAAUCUAUAUUUCCAGAUGACAUGAUCUUGUAUAUAGAAAAUCCUAAGGAAUCUACAAGGACCCUAUUAGAGCUAAUAAAUGAGUUCAGCAAGGUUUGAGGCUACAGGUCAAUGUGCAAAAAGCAAUUAUGUUUCUAUACACUAGCAAUAAACAAUCUGAAAAUGAAAUUAAGAAGGAAAAUCCCAUUUACAACAGCAUCAAGAAGAACAAAAUAAUUAGGAAAAAAUUAAUAAAAGAAGUACAAAACUUGUACUCUGAAGAUAUAUGUAUGGGAUAUGAAGAAUUGAGAACAUUCAUCCUCUGCUGAAAGAAAUGUAAGUUGGUAUCACCACUUUGGAAAGACAGUUUGGCAUGAUAGUAAAACUGAAUAUGCACAAACCCUUCAAUUCUGCAAUUCUGUUCCUCGGUUUAUACACCAGGGAAUAUGUACACAAAUGAGCAAGAAGUCACAUUCAUAAUAGCCCCAAACUGAAAAAAAACGUGCAUAUGCAUUAGUGAUGAGCUGGUUUAGUAAAUCGUGACAUAGUCAAACAGUGGAACACACUGUAUAACCAAUAAUAUGAAUAAACUACGGCUAAAAAAGCAUAUCAAAACUAUAAUUCUGAUUAAAAGAAUUAAAUCUACAUAACUCCCAUUUACAGAAAGUUUAAAAACAAGAAAAUUCAGUAAUACAUUUAUAAUAUAAGGAUAUAUACACAUAUAAUAAAAAUAUGCAUGGAACUGACCCUGUGGCCCAGUGGUGAAGUUCCCAUGCUCUGCUUCGACAGCCCAGGGUUUGCUGGUUCACAUCCUGGGCAUGAACCUAGCAGCACUCAUCAAGCCAUGCUGAGGCAGCAUCCCACAUAGAAGAACUAGGAGAACCUACAACUAGGAUAUACAGUUAUAUACUGGGGGACUUUGGGGAGAAAAAAAAAGAGGAAGAUUGGCAACAGAUGUUAGCUCAGGGCCAAUCUUCCUCACCAAAAGAAAGUGAUAUAAUUUAAAAAUAAUAAUAAAACUAUGCAGAAAAGCAAGAGAAUGAUUAACCUAAAAUUAAAGUUGAAGGGUGUCAGAAGGAGCACAAGACGUCUUCUGGUGAACUGGCAAUAUUCUGUUUCUUAACCUAGAUAUUGGAUAGUGUGAUGGUUAAUUUGAUGUGUCACUUGACAGAACUAAGGGGUGUAUUUGUGGGGAUGAUUUCAGAAGAGAUUAGCAUUUUAAUUGAUAGACUGUGUAAAGAAGAUGGCCCUCCACAAUGAGAGUGGACGUCAUCCAAUCCUUUGAGUGCCCACAUGUAUGGUAGUCCCCCUUUUCUGUGGUUUUGCUUUCUCAGGUUUUGGUAACCUGAGGCCAACCGAGGUCUGAAAAUAUUAAAUGAAAAAAACCAGAAAUAAACAAUUCAUAAGUUUUAAAUUGCAUGCCAUUCUGAGUAGUGUGAUGAAAUCUCACACAGUCCCACUCCAUCCUGCCAGAGAUGUGAAUCAUCCCUUUGUCCAGCAUAUCCACACUGUAUACACUACCUGCCUAUUAGUCACUUAGUAGCCAUCCUGGUUCAGUGCUUGCAUUCAAGUAACCCUUAUUUUACCUAAUAAUGACCCCAAAGCACAAGACUAGUGAUGCUGGCUAUUGGGAUAUGCCAAAGAGAAGCCAUAAAGUGCUUCCUUUAAGUGAAAAGAUGCAAGUUCUAGACUUCAUAAGGAGAGAAAAAAACUAUAUGCCAAGGUAGCCAAGAUCUUCAUUAUGAAUGAAUCUUCUAUCUAAGAAAUUGUGAGGAAGGAAAAAGAAAUGCUAGUUUUGCUGUCACACCUCAAAUAUGUAUGUAUAGGAAAAAACAUAGUAUACAUAUAAAGUUUGAUACUAUCCAUGGUUUCAGGCAUCCACUGGGGGUCUUGGAAUGUAUCCCCAUGGAUAAGGUGUGAUUACUGUAAUGGAAAGGCAGAGGAAGGGCAAUUCCUUCUCUCUGCUUGAGCUGGGACAUCUAUCUUCUCCUGCCCUUGGACUUUGGUGCUCCUGGUUCUCAGGCCUACAUGCUUGGACUGGAACUAUAUCACUGGCUUUCCUGGGCCUCCAGCUUACAGACAGCAUAUUGUGGGACUUCUCAGCCUCUGUAAUCAUGUGAGCCAAUUCCUCAUAAUAAAUUUCCUUCUGUAUAUCUCUAUAUAUCCUAUUGGUUCUGUUUCUCUGGAGAACUCUUACUAAUACAGAUACAAGGGUGUUGUUUUAUUUUUUCACUUUAAACUGUACAAAUACAUUGUAUAUACUUCUGUAUGUAGGAUAUAUCAUGCACACAUGCAAUUGGGAUCUUAUCUGCUUAAUAUACAAGUCCCAGCAGCAGUGAGGGACUCAGGAAAAUGA